rnacentral:rRNA from 1 species
CCUACGGGGUGCAGCAGUGAGGAAUCUUGGUCAAUGGAGGCAACUCUGAACCAGCCACGUCGCGUGAAGGAUGAAGGCCUUACGGGUCGUAAACUUCUUUUUCGGGGGAAUAAACGGGGUCACGGGUGGCCCUUUGCAUGUACCCCGCGAAUAAGCACCGGCUAACUCCGUGCCAGCAGCCGCGGUAAUACGGAGGGUGCAAGCGUUAUUCGGAAUUACUGGGCGUAAAGCGCGCGUAGGCGGCCCUGUAAGUCAGGUGUGAAAUCCCACGGCUCAACCGUGGAACUGCACUUGAAACUGCGGGGCUUGAAUCCUGGAGAGGGUGGCGGAAUUCCUGGUGUAGGAGUGAAAUCCGUAGAUAUCAGGAGGAACACCGGUGGCGAAGGCGGCCACCUGGACAGGUAUUGACGCUGAGGUGCGAAAGUGCGGGGAGCAAACAG